rnacentral:rRNA from 1 species
GAUGAACGCUAGCGAUAGGCUUAACACAUGCAAGUCGAGGGGCAGCACAAGGUAGCUUGCUAUCUGGGUGGCGACCGGCGCACGGGUGCGUAACGCGUAUGCAACUUGCCCUAUACAGGAGGAUAACCCGUCGAAAGACGGACUAAUACUGCGUAUGCUCACAACUUGGCAUCAAGCGGUGAGGAAAGAAAUUCGGUAUAGGAUAGGCAUGCGUCCCAUUAGCUUGUUGGUGAGGUAACGGCUCACCAAGGCAACGAUGGGUAGGGGAACUGAGAGGUUUAUCCCCCACACUGGUACUGAGACACGGACCAGACUCCUACGGGAGGCAGCAGUGAGGAAUAUUGGUCAAUGGGCGCGAGCCUGAACCAGCCAAGUCGCGUGAAGGAUGACUGUCUUAUGGAUUGUAAACUUCUUUUAUACGGGAAUAACAAGAGUCACGUGUGACUCCCUGCAUGUACCGUAUGAAUAAGCAUCGGCUAACUCCGUG